rnacentral:rRNA from 1 species
GGGAACCUGCCUUUAGGUUCGGAAUAACUCASAGAAAUUUGAGCUAAUACCGAAUAAUGUCUUCGGACCAAAGAUUUAUCGCCUUUAGAUGGGUCCGCGUUAGAUUAGAUAGUUGGUGGGGUAAUGGCCUACCAAGUCGACGAUCUAUAGCUGGUCUGAGAGGAUGAUCAGCCACACUGGGACUGAGACACGGCCCAGACUCCUACGGGAGGCAGCAGUGGGGAAUCUUGGACAAUGGGCGCAAGCCUGAUCCAGCCAUGCCGCGUGAGUGAUGAAGGCCUUAGGGUCGUAAAGCUCUUUCGCCUGUGAAGAUAAUGACGGUAGCAGGUAAGGAAACCCCGGCUAACUCCGUGCCAGCAGCCGCGGUAAUACGGAGGGGGUUAGCGUUGUUCGGAAUUACUGGGCGUAAAGCGCACGUAGGCGGACUGGAAAGUUGGGGGUGAAAUCCCAGGGCUCAACCCUGGAACUGCCUCCAAAACUAUCAGUCUAGAGUUCGAGAGAGGUGAGUGGAAUUCCGAGUGUAGAGGUGAAAUUCGUAGAUAUUCGGAGGAACACCAGU